rnacentral:rRNA from 1 species
GACGAACGCUGGCGGCGUGCUUAACACAUGCAAGUCGAACGGUGAAGCGCCUUCCUUUUUGGUGGGUGUGGAUGAGUGGCGAACGGGUGAGUAACACGUGAGUAACCUUCCCCCUUCUUCUGGAUAACCGCAUGAAAGUGUGGCUAAUACGGGAUAUUCUGGGUCUGUCGCAUGAUGGGUCUGGGAAGGAUAUUGUGUCGGUGGGGGAUGGGGUCGCGGCCUAUCAGCUUGUUGGUGGGGUGAUGGCCUACCAAGGCGGUGAAGGGUAGCCGGCCUGAGAGGGUGGACGGUCACACUGGGACUGCGACGCGCACCAGACUACGACGGGAGGCAGCAGGGAGGAAUAUUGCACAAUGGGCGCAAGCAUGAUGCAGCGACGCCGCGUGAGGGAUGGAGGCCUUCGGGUUGUGAACCUCUUUCGGCAGUGAAGCAGGCCUGCCUCGUUUGUGGGUGGGUUGACGGUAGCUGGAUAAGAAGCGCCGGCUAACUACGUG